AUCUUCCUCAGCUAAGAUAUCUGUGGUUAGCAUUCUUUCUACUGUCACUGAUUUGUUUUUGGCAUAUAAACUUGUGAACUAGAUGACAAAUGCAGUGAAAAGCAUUAGUCCACCAGCAAAUGAUGCUAUAUAAUAGUCUUUCAGGAUGCCCAAUUGGUGCAAAAGUGUUCCCAUUCCACCCAAAACCCAUGGCAUCAGAAAAAGGAUAAUUUGAUUAACAUAUACACAAAAGCCUAACUUGAGUUGAAGGCCUCCAAGAAGAGUCUGUGGAAUGUGCUUCAGAAAAGAAGUCCUGUUUGCAAUCAUUUAGCAGAAGCACAUCUGGACUCAUCCUUUUCACGCAGGAUUAUUCUGAAAAUCACAUCCUUUUCUGUAACCAGAAGACUCUUAAAUCACUGGAGGGAAGAGGCGGUGCAAAGGCAGCCUGAAGUCUGCACUUCUGCUGGUAAACCCAGGUGAGCACUCCCACCUGGAAGCUGGCUGGAGGCAUAGAAGCUGCAGUGGCCCCAAAGCAAAAUCCCAGAGAUGCCUCCAUGGUUACUCCUGGUUUCCAUGGCUUCAAGGUCUUCUUUUAACUUGAGAAAGUAUUUUGUCUUUCCAACUCAACAAGAAGCUCAUCAGGGACAAGUGACAGGCCUGUUUCAUUUUUAUAAAAUCCACAUUGUCUCAGUUCUUGGCACAUACUAGUAGUUCAAUUGAUUAUUGUCAAAUAAAUGAAUAUUAAACAUAUUUAUUGGCUACCUAUUCAUUCAUUAAUUCAAUCAGUUUAUACAUAUUGCUUGAGUACAACUAUAUGCCAGUCAUUUUCAAAGUGCUGAGGAUACAAACUUAAACCCAACUGAGAUCCCUGUCCUAAAGAAACUUCCAUUCUUUCAGGUGCAGUUGUGCAUGCCUGUAAUCUCAGCAACUUGGGAGGCUGAGGUAAGAGGUUCACAAGUUUGAG
rnacentral:lncRNA from 1 species